CUAUCAAUUUAUGGUGACUGAAUUGUGAUCAAUAUUCCCCCAAAGCGUCCAAGCCCUGAACUGUAAUAGUGUGAUAAGAGUUUGCGAGCGAUAAAAGAUGGGUUUGGGAGAGGCAAAGAGAAAAGAGUACUAACAAACAAGACUGCAUCGCUAUUAAUGCCCAUAGCAACACCUCUGUUCUGUUCAUAAGUGCAGGAAAAGAUGAAGCGAGCUACAGUCGGCCCAUUACCCAGUGUUACUCAAGAUAUUAAUUGCUGGGUACAAGGCUGGCAAGUGUCUGUGGGUUUAUAUGAAUAGGGGAAUAUACUAUCAGGCUUAUGUAUCUGGUUUAAAUAUCAAAAGUUUCUAAGAAAUAACUCAGACAUGUUUUGAAGAUUGCACAUCAGCCUAGCAUAUAUGUCCUAGACAUUCCAGGUGUAUUGGUUCCAAGUAUCCCUGACAUAGAGACAGAACUGAAGCUGGCUCUUGCAGGGUCUGUAAAAGAUUCAGUGGUAGGUGAGGAGUGAAUUGCACAAUACUUGCUGGCAGGUUUAAAUACUCGAGGGACUCCCCUUCAUUGGAAGCACUUGAACAACAGGAGACUAGAAGGGAUUUGAUAUGAUUCUAAGGAAAAACAUGAGUAUAAUCUUAAAGAUCUUCGGCCAAAGAGGAGGAAGCUGCCAAAUGAUUCUGAUAUGCCUUGCAUUGAGAAUUCACCAGUAUUGUAGAGGUGAGAGUGACUUUGAGGGUCUUAUAAAACAGCAGCUUGAAGCACUACAGAAGAACUUGCCAGCAAUUUUAAAUACUCAAGGGACUCCCCUUCAUUGGAAGCACUUGAACAAUAGGAGACUGGAAGGGAUUCAAUACGAUUCUAAGGAAAAACAUGAGUAUAAUCUUAAAGAUUUUCGGCCAAAAAGGAGGAAGCUGCCAAAUGACUCUAAUAUGCUUUACAUUGAGUAAUAUAGGAUCGUUCUCAUUUAAUCAUUUUAUUCGGGAUGACCCAAAGUCAGAAAGGAGACAAACUUAACUAUGGGCACAAGAAAAAUUGUUCUAGGGACUGCAUAGAACCAAAUAAACUUCAUGAUAGGUCUUGUUGUUGAGAUAUUACAUGCGUUAGACACCAUUUUGGUUCUUAUGAAUGGAUGGCAAAUUAUCAGAUCAGAAAUUUUUUCAAGGAAAUUUAGUUUUCUUGUCAUGAAUGAAGAUUUAAUUUUGAUAACAUAUUUUUUGGUCAUGAAUGUGUUACAAUGAGCCUAUGUUUUGAUAACAUAUUUUAUUGACAUUCAUGUAGGACAUAAUGAAGUUAUUUUGUUGUGCUUACUGUAUGAAGGGGUUUUUUUUAUGACCAGGGACAAGAAAGGAGAAUGUAAACUUGAAAUGUGGGCAAAUGCUAGACAAACUGACAGAGUCAAUGAACUAUGACUUUAGAUAUGGUAGGCUUAAUUUGAAACAGAUGAUCAGUAAGUUCAGACAAAAUAAUCUGGUUUCUAGCUUCAGUAGGUGGCUUUUAAGAAGGAUGUGAAGUUUUU